UGUGGCAGAAUAGUGCAAUAAACUUAAGCCUUAUUUAAAAAGAAAUCUUUCUUUAGAA
rnacentral:tRNA from 1 species